CUUAAGGAAUCCACCAUGUAAGCAGGGCAUUCAAGGCUCUGGAAAUGUCUCCUAAGUAUUCUGGUUGGGUCCAUUACUCUCCCACACUCUACAGAGUAAAGUGGCUGAAGACUCCUACCUUUCAUACACUGUCCUAGCCUACCACCUUUCUCUUGGGGUAGAUAAAGAGAUAAAGGAAACAAAUCAGAGCAUCCCCAGCCCCAGAAGCGACCAGACCAAAAUUCCUCUGGGCCAACUGCAAAGCUGCUUGCCCCUACCACAAAAGAUCCUCUCUCAAGGAUGAGGGAGCCUAGAAAAUUAAUUCCCUUCAAAUCCAUCUAUCAGCUGCUUUUCAGCAUCCUUCAACCUACCCUGAUCCCUGGGAAUGGAAAUGAAAAGAGCUUCCUCCUUUUCUUUACUAAGCCAGGACAUCAACGCUUAGUGAAAUGAUGACCUCUCAGACGUAAGGAGGACAGCCAGAGAGAAGAACAGAUGGAAGGGUGGAUGGUGCAGUUUGAAAGCACAUAAGCAGCCCGGCUGAGCUGUUGGGGAAAAAAAAUUUUUUUUGGACACUGUUUCAGGCUCUUAUUGAAAAGGCUUGGUGUACUUUUUGCUAUUGGGAGAGGUGCUAUUUUAUAAG
rnacentral:lncRNA from 1 species